rnacentral:rRNA from 1 species
GAUGAACGCUAGCGGCAGGCUUAAUACAUGCAAGUCGUGGGGCAGCAGGUUUGUAGCAAUACAGAUGCUGGCGACCGGCAAACGGGUGCGGAACACGUACAGAACCUUCCUUUGAGCGGGGAAUAGCCCAGAGAAAUUUGGAUUAAUACCCCAUAGUAUAAUGAAGUGGCAUCACUUUAUUAUUAAAGAUUUAUCACUCGAAGAUGGCUGUGCGGCUGAUUAGGUAGUUGGCGGGGUAAAGGCCCACCAAGCCUGCGAUCAGUAACUGGUGUGAGAGCACGACCAGUCACACGGGCACUGAGACACGGGCCCGACUCCUACGGGAGGCAGCAGUAAGGAAUAUUGGUCAAUGGAGGCAACUCUGAACCAGCCAUGCCGCGUGGAGGAUGAAGGUCCUCUGGAUUGUAAACUUCUUUAUAUGGGGACGAAAAAAAGGCUUUUCUAAGUCGUCUGACGGUACCAUAUGAAUAAGCACCGGCUAACUCCGUGCCAGCAGCCGCGG